UACGUAGGGUGCGAGCGUUGUCCGGAAUUAUUGGGCGUAAAGAGCUUGUAGGCGGUCUGUCGCGUCUGCUGUGAAAAUCCGGGGCUCAACCCCGGACUUGCAGUGGGUACGGGCAGACUAGAGUGUGGUAGGGGAGACUGGAAUUCCUGGUGUAGCGGUGAAAUGCGCAGAUAUCAGGAGGAACACCGAGUGGCGAAGGCAG
rnacentral:rRNA from 1 species